rnacentral:rRNA from 1 species
GAUGAACGCUGGCGGCGUGCCUAAUACAUGCAAGUCGAGCGAACAGACGAGGAGCUUGCUCCUCUGACGUUAGCGGCGGACGGGUGAGUAACACGUGGAUAACCUACCUAUAAGACUGGGAUAACUUCGGGAAACCGGAGCUAAUACCGGAUAAUAUAUUGAACCGCAUGGUUCAAUAGUGAAAGACGGUUUUGCUGUCACUUAUAGAUGGAUCCGCGCCGCAUUAGCUAGUUGGUAAGGUAACGGCUUACCAAGGCGACGAUGCGUAGCCGACCUGAGAGGGUGGUCGGCGACACUGGAACUGGGACACGGUCCAGACUACUACGGGAGGCAGCAGUAGGGAAUCUUACGCAGUGGGCGAAAGCCUGACGGAGCAACGCCGCGUGAGUGAUGAAGGUCUUCGGAUCGUAAAACUCUGUUAUUAGGGAAGAACAAAUGUGUAAGUAACUGUGCACGUCUUGACGGUACCUAAUCAGAAAGCCACGGCUAACUACGUG